AACCUAUGGUGAAGGAAACUUUUCAAUAAAUCCUUAUACCUAUCCCAUGCAUCAUAUAGGGUCUCUAAGUCCAUCUGUACGAAGGAAGAGAUAUCAUUCCUCAACUU
rfam:Gossypium arboreum cultivar AKA8401 contig_3013_1, whole genome shotgun sequence.